rnacentral:tRNA from 1 species
UGGCUCAGUUAGUAGAGCAUGGUGUUUGCAACGCCAGCAUGGUGUGUGCAACACCAGGGUUGUGGGUUCAAUUCCCAC